UACGUAGGGUGCAAGCGUUAAUCGGAAUUACUGGGCGUAAAGCGUGCGCAGGCGGUUGCGCAAGACAGAUGUGAAAUCCCCGGGCUUAACCUGGGAACUGCAUUUGUGACUGCACGGCUAGAGUGUGUCAGAGGGGGGUAGAAUUCCACGUGUAGCAGUGAAAUGCGUAGAUAUGUGGAGGAAUACCGGUGGCGAAAGCGACUCUCUGGACGGCAACUGACGCUGAGGCACGAAAGCGUGGGGAGCAAACAGG
rnacentral:rRNA from 1 species